GCGCAGCAGGCGAGAAUCCUCCACAAUGCGGGAAACCGUGAUGGGGGGAAUCCGAGUGCCCGUUGGCUAAUGCUGGCGGGCUUUUUCUCAAGCGUAAAAGGCUUGAGGAAUAAGGACUGGGUAAGACCGGUGCCAGCCGCCGCGGUAACACCGGCGGUCCAACUGGUGAUCAGCAUUACUGGGCCUAAAGCGUCCGUAGCCGGAUGGUUGGAUUCUGAGUGAAAUUUCCCAGCUCAACUGGGAAGCGUGCUUGGAACACCCGCCAUCUUGGGACCGGGAGAGGUAGGGGGUAGGCCCCGGGUAGAAGUAAAAUUCUAUAAUCCGGGGAGGACCACCAGUGGCGAAGGCG
rnacentral:rRNA from 1 species